GAGGUCCUUGCGUUCUCGAUGCUGAGUCGUGACUGAAGCAUCUCAUCCUGUGAUGCGUGUGCAUCUCGGAGACACUCGGAUCACGUGGUUACAGAAAAGGUUGCCACCAGAACCUGGGCCAAGGCCACUGCUCAGAUGCUAUCUGAGUGACUGAACUUGAGGGCCACGCAAGCUGCCCACCCAUGAAUGAGGAACAAGCUCCAGGAGGAGAGCAGCUGCCCGAGGCGGUGAGACGGGGGCCUCGAAGAGCCUUGGGUCCACACAUCCUCUGGGAGCAAGCAUCCAGCCUCCAUGCCCACCCUGCUUCCCCUCCAUGCUUUGGACCAAGCAGGGACUGUUCUGCUCCAGGGAUGCUCUGCACAGAGACACAGUCGAGCAAUGGCUGAAGCCAUUCAAAGCAACGCUGCCCCCUAAUCUCCAGCGCUUUCCAAGCAUUUUGGGGAGGAGAGGUGAACAUAAUUGUAGCAUGUUCUUUAAUAACAGUUAAACAGUACUUCUUUAUGUUGCCAAAUAUGUGUACUAUUUCUGAGCCCAGAAAUCAAUAGAAUUCAUCUGCUGUUAACUUGAAAUGUGUAAUGAACAGUGCAAGUGGGAAACAGGAAAGCUGAGGCAAUUACCAUUACCAUUUCCUCUUUCUAAAGAAAAAGUCAUACCACAGAGGCAAAGAUCUAGCUAGACUUUGGUAACAAACUUAAAAAUCAUCAAAUUCCUUUUAUUAAAGAUACUUACACAUCACUGCCCAGUUUACCAACUUUAAGAUUUA